AUGGCCCUCUUUGAGGAGUUCUAUGUGGGUUCCAUCGACCUCCAUCGCCUUAACUAUGGGAUCAUCACUUUAAGUCCCAAGGUGCUUGGCGCCUCGGACAUUUGCCAGUUCCGUCCUAUCAUGGUGAUCAAUGUGAUCUUCCGCAUUCUCGCAAAGGGGUACGCCAAUAGGGUGGCCCCUUUGUCUGACCGCAUCACCCACCCGGGUCGAUCCGCCUUCAUACAGGGCCGGUAUAUCUUGGAUGGGGUCCUUGUCUUUCACGAAGUCCUGCACGAGGUCCGGUCCAAAAACCUCAAAGCAGUCUUCCUGAAAAUUGACUUCCACAAGGCCUACGACACGGUUAGCUGGUCCUUCCUUCGGGAAGUGUUGCUCAGGAAAGGGUUUGAUGAUCGAUGGGUCACCCGGGUCAUGCAGAUGAUGACUUCUGGGUGCACCGUGAUGAACAUUAAUGGGGAGAUCGGGCCCUAUUUCCCCACCUUAUGUGGGGUUAGGAAGGGGGACCCUGUGGGGACCCCAACUCAUAAGUCGUGA
rnacentral:rRNA from 1 species